ensembl:lncRNA
GCUUUUAUUAGCGGCUUCUCACCGGGGUUACGCUUCAGUGUGAGCACUAUGGGUUAAGGGUUAUGCCGUUACGGAAGGGUAAAGGGCUCCAUGCUGGAUUAAGGGAUAAGAGCUACGGGUUACCCUUCUCGGUUUGGUUUCGUGGUUGCCCUUUUGGAUUAGAAAUAUGAGUUAACGGUUUCCCAUUUGAGGGCAGGCUUUAGGAUGAAGGCAUACCCUUUGGCAUCAGGCUUCAGAUUUACCUUUUCUGGCUGUGCUGAAUGGUGAGCAUUUUGUGUUAGCGAUAAGUGUGAAGGGUUACCCAUCAGUGUGACGUAUAAGAGUUCCCAUAGCCGUAGACAGUUGUAGGAAGAUACAUAGAAAAACAAAACGAUGGCUAUCGAUUUACGAAGGCUAUCGAUUUACGAAGGCUAUCGAUUUACGAAGAAGGAAAACGAAGGGAAAAAACAGCAAAUGAAUACAAUCACAUUUAAAGCAACAAAUCAGAAAAGAAAAAAGAAAACAAUGAAAAACCAAUAACCACAAAAAGAAACAAACAAACCAAAAAAGAAAAGAAAACCCAAGAGCACAGAGCACCCCAAAGCGCCUCACAGAAGGAACAACACACGAAAUAGAAAUUUAAAAAGGGGAAAAAAAAAAGAGAAAAGCAACAACAAAAAGACACAUAUUUGACGAAACAACAAGAUAAGAAAUUUUCCAAAAACAGAACAAAAGAAAAAAAGAAAUGAAACAAGAACAAAAAUCUAAUCAUAAAACACAAAAAAGGAAAAACAGUACAAAAGCACAAAACACAAACACACACAUAAAUGUAGUUUUGCUACUGCAAAAGUGCAAAAACAGCAAAUCAAAACAACCACAUUAAAGCAACAAAACCAAAGGCCCACAACAAACCAAAGGCCCACAACAAACCAAAGGCCCACAACAAACCAAAGGCCCACAACAAACCAAAGGCCCACAGAGUGCCCCACAGAAAAGAUCAAUGAAAAAACACAUGAGAAAAAACACACAACAUAGAAAUUAAAAAUGAGAAAAAAUUAACAAAAAUUGCAGAACCAAACAGCAAAGAAAAAUACACAGAAAAUCACAUCACAUUUAAAGCAAGAAAACAGAAAAAAAUAAAAUUAAAGAAAAAGAAAAACAACCAAAAAAACCCACCAAAAAAAAAAUCCAAACACAGAGCGCACCCCACAGAGCUCCCCACAGAAAAAAACAACAGAAAUAGACAAGAGAAAAAAACACACACAACACAGAAGUUAAAAUAGAGGAGAAAAACAAACAAGAAACAGAAAAAGAGAAAAUCAAAACCAAAAGACAAAAACAACCUCCAUAAGUACACAAAACGCACACAUAUGACAAGGAACAGAAACUGGAUCCGAUGUCAUGGCAAAGCAAAGCUGACAAGUGACUGUGGUGCAGGCCGAAAGCUUACCAUGUGUGCCUGGCAGGAGGAAAGGGCAGCUGCCGGGCACGGAUCAGCCAGCCAGCUGAGGAAAAGCCUAAAGGCCAUGGCAAGGAAUGAGGCAAGGGCACCCAGGAGGCGAGAAGCCAUCUGAGCCAUUCAGAAGGAAACAACAAGAGAAGGCAAGGGAAGCAAAGAAAAGUCAUUCAGAAAAAAUCCACAGAAAAAUAAGAAAAAGAAAGAAAGCAAAAAAAAAAAACCCCAACAAAUAAAAAACCAAAUAAAGAAAAAGCAAAGCAAAACAACAAAUGGAAUACAAAGGAAAAGCAAAAAGAAGUCAGCAAAGGAAAGAUAAAAAUGGAG